AUGGUGACUCAGGAAACUUCACUGUCCACAACUCCUGGAGGGACAGUCACACUCACCUGCGGCUCCAGCGCUGGGGCUGUCACCACCAGCAACUAUGCCAGCUCGGUCCAACAGAAGUCCAACCAGGUACUCUGGGGUCUAAUAGGUGAUAUCAGCAAUCAAUACCAAGGGGUCCCUGCCCGAUUCUCAGGCUCCCUGCUUGGAGACAAGGCUGCCCUCACCAUCACGGGGGCCCAGCCUGAGGAUGAGGCCGAGUAUUACUGUGCUUUGUGGCUCAGCAGCCAUUUGCACAAUGACAGAUGCAGAUGGGAAAGAUUGCAGAAAUGA